AUGAAUCAGGCAAGGCGAAUGCAAAAUUUGGAAGAACGCACGGAGGUUCGACCAACGCUACGGCCUACGGCCCGGCCUAGGAGAGACGAGUUACCUGCAGCAACCGCAAGCGACGACGGGCCAACGAACAAAGUAGCUACGGAUCAUGCAUCAAGCGAACCAAGACAAGACGCCUGGAUCGAUCACGCGGGGCCAGCCAUACCGCGGAGGGCGGCGGCGGCCUCGUCGGUGCAAGACUGCAGCAUCUGCGCGGCGAGGUUGAGGGCGGCGGUCGCGUGCGCGUGCUCGAGGACGACGAGGACGUCCACGUACGGGAGGCCGUGGUGGUCGAGGAGGUAG
rnacentral:rRNA from 1 species